AUUAACGGUACCGUCGUUUUCGCGCACGCGCUCUCUCGUCGUCGUCAUUAGCUUUUCCGGCGCGGGAAGUGUCGGGACACGGACACGCUCUCAACGGGGGGGCGCGUAUAGGGGGAACACCCAUACACCCUGUGCGCGCGCAUGGAUCGAUGACGAAUGUUUGUUUAUUAUUAUUUACGUUUAAAAAAAUUAUAUAUAUAUAUAUAUAUCGAUGAUGGAACACGUCUAGUCUCCGUUUUUCACAUUAUUUUAACUUCGUUCAAAUCUAAGGGUUUUUUGUUUUUUUUUUUUUUUUUUUCGAGAGUGUGUUAUGGGUGCGGAUAUACACGUAUAUUAUAGUAAUAAUGAAUACUUCUCCGAGACAAAACUAUACAUAUAUAUAUAUACAUAUUUCAAAAAUAAAAAUAAUAACACUCUAACAACAACAACAACAACAACAGACUAUCAUUUUCGUUUGUUCAUUAUAAAAAAAAAAAAAUAAUAACGUAGGUGUACAUGUCUUUUUUGAAAUGUAUAUUAUUAUCAAUAGACACACACACACACACACACACACACACACAUGUGAUCGGUUAUAUUAUUAUUAUUAUUAUUAUUAUUAUUAUUAUUAUUAUUAUCAUUAAAAAUACAAUAUUAUUUACAUUUUACGAAUAUAACGAAGGGCCUUAUACACUCAAUACUUACUACAUUUAUAGGAAACCCGCGACAGGAUACACGAUAUAUUUUUAUUAUUGUUUAAUUCUCAUUAUUCUAUUGUAUACACAUUUUCUACUGUUAUCAUAUUAUUAUUGUACGUCAAUAGUUUUCGUUUUCUUCUUAUUUUUUUUUUUUUUUUUACAGUUGAUAAUAUUUCGUUGUUACACGCUAUAUAAUAUAUUUAAAACAGAAUAAAAAAAAAUACCACAAAUAACAUUUAUAAUAUAAAAUAGGCUCUAACAAAAUAUAAUAUUUAUAAUAAUUUAUAUAAUAAUUACAGACUGACAGAAACAUUGGGUAUUAUAAUUCAUUAUUUAGUUGUAAAAAAAAUAAAAUAAAAAAAAAAAAAAAAAAAACCGAACCAAAACCGCGUUCAUUCCGUAUUGAAAUGUUACGGUACUAUCAUAAUAUAUAUAUGUGUGUGUACACAUAAAUAUUGUAUUACCGACAUGUUAUUUUGUUGAUCCGUUGAAAUAAUUAUUAUAUUAUAUAGGCUGAAAAAAAAAUAAAAUAAUAAAAAAAAAUUAAUAUAUAUAAAUACACGUACAUUUGCAUUGGCGUUGUCAAUUGAACCGAAUGUGGCGCGCGCCCUCCGAGUACCAACCAACAAUACAUUACAAUAGAUUAUGCGCGGUGCGGAUGCCGUUUCGCAUUGAUACGCGAAAACGACCGCCGGCCGCGCGCGAUCGGGAUUUUAUCAAUUUGCGUUAAUUGUAUUAUUAUUAUUAUUAUUAUUAUUAUUAUUAUUUUUUUUUUUUUAAUUUCCUUCGUUAUUAUUGUACAUUCCGCGAUGCCCAUACCUAUAAUGUAAUAUUAGAUACGGAACAUAUAUACAUAUAAAUAUACCGAUAAUGUUAAAACGUUGUUUAUUUUGUACAAUUGAAAAACCCGUGUAAAUAUAAUGAGUAAAAAAUACAAAAACAAAAAAAAAAAAAAAAAAAAAAAAAAAAAAAAAAAAAACGAAAAAAAAAAAAUAAAAUACUUAUCGCGAUUAUAUCCAUUGAAAUAACACAGAAUACGAUGGGAAAAAACGAAAAAAAAUUUUUUUUUUUUUUUUACGCGAUAUAGGCGCCUAAAUCUACAUUACCGAAAACGUUGUCGCGCGUUUGUCCAACACAUUUUACGUACCGACAAUAUUAUCAUUACAAUUGCCGUUAUACCCGGGACGCCCGUUAGUUUUCGAAAAAAAAAAAAAAAGACAAAAACCGUACGGUAACACACUACUUCCGCCACGACAUUUUAACGCACCCGGGUUUUUUUUGUUUUUAUACAUAUAUAUAUAUAUAGUUUAUUUUAUUGGUUUUUUUUUCCGUUUUUGUUUUUUCGUAUUACCCCGUAUCGCCCGGUCGUAACAAUAAUACUAUCACGUUGUCACUAUACACACACCAAUACACACACACACAUACAUAUAUAUGUAUAAUACGUGUAUGAACUAUUAUUGUUAUUACGAUUAAAACUUAGCGCGAGUGCAACUGCAAUGUGAGAUUGCGUUAAAUUAUCGUACGUCGUGUGUUAUUAAAAAAAAAAAAAAAAAACCCGAAUCGGGUAGGUAUCGUGCCAGUUCGCGAAAACGGAUUUUCUUCUUUUUUUCUCUUUUUUUUUUUUCGUCUUUUCUUUUUCCACACAAUCACGCGGAGGCCCGAUUUCCGAAUACCCAUGACCCCCGACAAUUGCGAUAGGUCGUACAGGUGGAUAUCCCGUUUCGCAUAUCGCGUUCCGUCCCGUUACAGACAGCGCGGGGAUUGACGAUAUUGUAACGUAUUAUAAGCGCGCGCGAUCAAAAAAGAAAAAAAAAAUUUAAAAAAAAAAACACAUAUUAUUAUUAUUCUUACGGUUUUUUUGUUUUUUGUUUUUUUUUUUUGUGUAAUAGAUACGUUUGCAUAAGAUAAUUACAUUAUUUUAGACAGUAUUUUGUAAGUAUACGUAGGUACGUUUGUUAACGUUAAAAAAUAAUAUUCGUGUGUGGUAUUUGAGAACGUAUAUAUAUAUAUAUAUUUAAUUUAUUUAUAUACAUUAUAAUAAAAUCGAUUUUAGUGGUUUUUUUUUUUUUUUAUUUUUGUUUCGUCGUUUUUUUGUUUAACAUUUUGGUUUCGGCCUUACGGAAAAAAAUUAAAAAAAAAAAAAAAAAAUUGACCGCGUGUGGAUUACAAAAUAUAAUCGUAUAUUAUAUUAUUAUUAUUAUUAUUAUUAUUAUAUAACAUUAGAAAAUAAGAAUAUCGAAAUUCAGUACAAAAUAUAACUAGAAAUUUUCACAAAAAAUUAGUCGAACUUGUUGCUCAAUAUUUUAUUUUAGAAACGGUGUUUAUUGUAUUUAUUAAAAACUGCAGUUUUCUACGGAUCUGUAGUCUCUCACUCACUCUCUCUCUCUCUCUCUCUCUCUCUCUCUCUAUCUUUAUCACUAUCUCUCUCGCAAAACGUAUAUAGUUUCUUUUAACCGCAUUGAUCUUCUACAUCCGUUUCUGUUUUUCGGUUUUCAUUUUAUUUUUACACGGAUAUACGCAUUACAAAUAGAUUUUUAACGACAGAGUAAAUACGGGCAUUAGAAAAUUGACAUUCGUUUUCGAAUCGAUUAAUAUUUUAUCGUAAUGUAUUAUAUUAUUAUUAUUAUUAUUAUUAUUAUUAUUAUUAUGAUGUCAGUUCUGUUCCUCAUCACCUGCAGACACAAAUAUUAUUAUUAUUACGAUUAUGAUUAUUAUUAUUAUUUUUUUUUAUUAUUAUUAUUAUUAUUACUAUUACUGUCCUUAUUAUAUUAUUAUUAUUAUUAUUAAUUAUUAUUAAUUAUUAUUAUUAUUACCUUUUAACCUCUACCUAGUAUCAAUUUUUUAUCAGGGUGAAUACUUAAAUGAAAAUAAAAAUAGGACAUAUAUUAUAAUAUACCGAAAUGUAUAAGAUAAUAAUAUUAUGAUUUUAUUUUACUGUGCUACUCAGUGUACCGAUAUUAUUAAUUUUCAAACCGAUAAUAAUAAUAAUAUUAUUGUGUGUAUAUAUAUAUAUAUAUAAAUAUUAUAUAAAUAAAUACC